rnacentral:rRNA from 1 species
AUCUACGGCCAUAGGAUCCGGACACAUAGGGUAUCCCGUCCGCUCUGCCUUACUCAAGCCUGAUACUGGUUGCUUAGUACUACGGUCGGUGACGACGUGGGAAUCGCAACUGCUGUAGAUU